GAUGGAGUGAAUCACCCGUUAAAUUUUCAAUCCCACGAAGGGCGGAUCUUCGCUUGGCUUGCCCGCGAACUAAAACCAUUACAAUUAACGACCAUCUUAUCGGAAACGGCGUCGUUGGAGCUUACCGAUGAAAAAUCACAAUUAUGUGAGCUGAACAAUAGUUCGACGGUGUCAUUUUACCCGGUCAACCAUAAUUACAAACCGUCAGAUCGACAAAAUCUAGAGGAAUCAACGGUCAGGGAUAGAGAUAAAAAAAGAAAAUUUAUCGAGCAUACGUGUAAGGUAGGGAUUGGCUGAUGGAGAAGACCUCCAUAACCAGUCCCACAGAAAUCCUCUUCGUCUGCCACCGGGUGGCACGAGGUCCGAGUGAGGGAUAAUCGAAGGACUCCCGAAAAGAGAGAAAGGAGUUCGACAAGCAUUUGAUGGGAACCAUUGGUGCUUUCCCUACUACCGCCAUUAGACCUCGAGGACUUGUUGGGCAUUUCCCAAAUCUUUCCCCAUCUUCUUGGUAUUUCACUUCCAAACAACGCUUUAGACUUUCCCUCGCUGUCAAAAAAACCCAGAAUUAUUUCACCGCGACAACAAGCUCGUCGUCAAUGGCUACACCUUCUCUCCAAGUCUCUGCUUCGUCCACCAUUGGUGCAAAAAAUGAAGAACUUGAGGCUUCCUCAUCUGGGUUGGUGGGAGAGAACGACUUGCUGAUUGUUGGACCGGGAGUUCUUGGUCGCUUAGUGGCACAGAAAUGGAGGGAGGAGCAUCCGGGGAGUCAAAUAUAUGGGCAAACUGUGACCACCGAUCACCAUGAGGAGUUGAUUAAAAUGGGGAUUAAUCCAUCUUUGAAGGAUGCAAAUGUGACCCAUAAAUUUCCCUUUGUCAUAUUUUGUGCUCCUCCCUCUAGAAGCUCGGACUACCCUGGUGAUGUUCGGAUAGCUGCAACAAAUUGGAAUGGUGAAGGUUCUUUCUUAUUUACAUCAAGUUCUGCACCAUAUGACUGUUAUGACAAUGGACCAUGUGAUGAGGACACUCCAGUGGUGCCGCUGGGGAGGAGUCCUAGGACAGACAUUCUUCUGAAAGCAGAAAAAGUAGUAUUGGAGUUUGGUGGUUGUGUUGUUAGAUUGGCUGGACUUUACAUAUCCUUUAUGAAAUCAAAUUAUAGAGGUGCACAUGCCUAUUGGUUGGAGAAGGGAAUUGUUGAAUCUCGUCCAGAUCAUGUCCUGAAUCUUAUACAUUAUGAGGAUGCAGCUUCUCUUUCAGUUGCAAUCUUGAAGAAGAGAUUACGUAGCCGAAUUUUCUUGGGUUGUGACAACCAUCCUUUAUCCAGGCAAGAAGUAAUGGACUUGGUUAAUAAAAGUGGGAAAUUCAGUAAAAAGUUCGAGGCUUUUACGGGAACUAGUGAUCCUUUGGGUAAGAGAUUAAACAACUCAAAAACUCGUGAGGAAAUAGGGUGGGAGCCAAAGUACCCCAGUUUUGCUCAGUUCCUUGCGAGCAUUUGAAUACCAGCACGACUAUAUGAUUGUUGGGAAUAGAUGCUGUGCAGGCAGAAGUAUGGGAAAUAUUGGAUUAAGGCGGCUAAAAGUAAUGUUUUUUCAUGGGAAUGCCCGCAAGUUGGCCAGUAUUUGGUCUCAGCAAAUAUUCUUCAACGUGAUGGGACUAAGAUUUGAGAUAAUAAAAAGAAGGGAAAAAAAAAAAAAAAUUAAUGGGCAAGUCUUGCUGCUGGGAUGAUGGUGGUGGUGUUGAUCCAGCAGUACUUCUUAUAGUGGUUGUGCUAGCUCUUCUGGUUAUGUCUGUUUGCAUACCGCCGCAGCCUCGACGUGUAGCCAUUUAUCGCUGUCGCUUUUGAUCUGCCGGCGACCUCUGCCGUUGUUGUGUGCUUUUGUGUCCCUCUUGUUGAUGCUGUAUCCUGGCCUGGCUUUGCAAUAUUUCUAAUACCAAAAGCAUUCAGGUUUUGCCAUUAUUUGUUGUGCAUGAGUUAAUUUAUGAUUUUUCUUUUUUUUUUUUUUCUUGCCCGGAGCAUUGUAUGGUACAGAAAUUAGCAUCCUAAUUUCUUGUUUCCAUAUGUUGUAUUAUUCUUUCUUUUCAGUCCAGUAAACAAUGUUCUUGCCAGUUUCUUUUCAAA